AUCCUCUCAGUAUGUUUAUUAGGGUUGUGUAAUUAUCAUCUCAGUAUGUUUAUUAGGGUUGUGUAAUUAUCAUCUCAGUAUGUUUAUUAGGGUUGUGUAAUUAUCAUCUCAGUAUGUUUAUUAGGGUUGUGUAAUUAUCAUCUCAGUAUGUUUAUUAGGGUUGUGUAAUUAUCAUCUCAGUAUGUUUAUUAGGGUUGUGUAAUUAUCAUCUCAGUAUGUUUAUUAGGGUUGUGUAAUUAUCAUCUCAGUAUGUUUAUUAGGGUUGUGUAAUUAUCCUCUCAGUAUGUUUAUUAGGGUUGUGUAAUUAUCAUCUCAGUAUGUUUAUUAGGGUUGUGUAAUUAUCAUCUCAGUAUGUUUAUUAGGGUUGUGUAAUUAUCAUCUCAGUAUGUUUAUUAGGGUUGUGUAAUUAUCAUCUCAGUAUGUUUAUUAGGGUUGUGUAAUUAUCCUCUCAGUAUGUUUAUUAGGGUUGUGUAAUUAUCAUCUCAGUAUGUUUAUUAGGGUUGUGUAAUUAUCAUCUCAGUAUGUUUAUUAGGGUUGUGUAAUUAUCAUCUCAGUAUGUUUAUUAGGGUUGUGUAAUUAUCAUCUCAGUAUGUUUAUUAGGGUUGUGUAAUUAUCAUCUCAGUAUGUUUAUUAGGGUUGUGUAAUUAUCAUCUCAGUAUGUUUAUUAGGGUUGUGUAAUUAUCAUCUCAGUAUGUUUAUUAGGGUUGUGUAAUUAUCAUCUCAGUAUGUUUAUUAGGGUUGUGUAAUUAUCAUCUCAGUAUGUUUAUUACGGUUGUGUAAUUAUAAUCUCAGUAUGUUUAUUAGGGUUGUGUAAUUAUCCUCAGUAUGUUUAUUAGGGUUGUGUAAUUAUCCUCUCAGUAUGUUUAUUAGGGUUGUGUAAUUAUCAUCUCAGUAUGUUUAUUAGGGUUGUGUAAUUAUCAUCUCAGUAUGUUUAUUAGGGUUGUGUAAUUAUCAUCUCAGUAUGUUUAUUAGGGUUGUGUAAUUAUCCUCUCAGUAUGUUUAUUAGGGUUGUGUAAUUAUCAUCUCAGUAUGUUUAUUAGGGUUGUGUAAUUAUCAUCUCAGUAUGUUUAUUAGGGAUGUGUAAUUAUCCUCAGUAUGUUUAUUAGGGUUGUGUAAUUAUCCUCAGUAUGUUUAUUAGGGAUGUGUAAUUAUCAUCUCAGUAUGUUUAUUAGGGUUGUGUAAUUAUCAUCUCAGUAUGUUUAUUAGGGUUGUGUAAUUAUCAUCUCAGUAUGUUUAUUAGGGUUGUGUAAUUAUCAUCAGUAUGUUUAUUGUGAAGAGGCAGGGUGGGUCAUGUAGUGUUUUUAAUUGGUGAAGAGGCAGGGUGGGUCAUGUAGUGUUUUUAAUUGGUGAAGAGGCAGGGUGGGUCAUGUAGCGUUUUUAAUUGGUGAAGAGGCAGGGUGGGUCAUGUAGCGUUUUUAAUUGGUGAAGAGGCAGGGUGGGCCAUGUAGCGUUUUUAAUUGGUGAAGAGGCAGGGUGGGUCAUGUAGCGUUUUUAAUUGGUGAAGAGGCAGGGUGGGUCAUGUAGCGUUUUUAAUUGGUGAAGAGGCAGGGUGGGCCAUGUAGCGUUUUUAAUUGGUGAAGAGGCAGGGUGGGUCAUGUAGUGUUUUUAAUUGGUGAAGAGGCAGUGUGGGCCAUGUAGCUGUGCUUCUCGGCUUCCGUUCUUCAGACUUUUAGGGUCUUUAUUUGUACCCUGCGAACAUUGACAAUGUAUCUUGUAUUUGUAGUGGAGUCUUUUUGUGCUCGUCUAACUUCUCUUUGUAACUUUUGCCGUUUUCUUCAGGCUUUCUGUACUGCGUAAAACAUAAAAGAUGUUACAAACAGGAGAUCCUACUCUA